AAGGAUUUAAGUUAAACAAACUAGUAACCUUCAAAGUUAAAAUUAGAGGCUCUCUAAGCCUUA
rnacentral:tRNA from 1 species